UUGGGCGUAAGAGAGUGCAGGCGGUUUUCUAAGUCUGAUGUGAAAGCCUUCGGCUUAACCGGAGAAGUGCAUCGGAAACUGGAUAACUUGAGUGCAGAAGAGGGUAGUGGAACUCCAUGUGUAGCGGUGGAAUGCGUAGAUAUAUGGAAGAACACCAGUGGCGAAGGCGGCUACCUGGUCUGCAACUGACGCUGAGACUCGAAAGCAUGGGUAGCGAACAGGAUUAGAUACCCUGGUAGUCCAUGCCGUAAACGAUGAGUGCUAGGUGUUGGAGGGUUUCCGCCCUUCAGUGCCGGAGCUAACGCAUUAAGCACUCCGCCUGGGGAGUACGACCGCAAGGUUGAAACUCAAAGGAAUUGACGGGGGCCCGCACAAGCGGUGGAGCAUGUGGUUUAAUUCGAAGCUACGCGAAGAACCUUACCAGGUCUUGACAUCUUGCGCCAACCCUAGAGAUAGGGCGUUUCCUUCGGGAACGCAAUGACAGGUGGUGCAUGGUCGUCGUCAGCUCGUGUCGUGAGAUGUUGGGUUAAGUCCCGCAACGAGCGCAACCCUUGUUACUAGUUGCCAGCAUUAAGUUGGGCACUCUAGUGAGACUGCCGGUGACAAACCGGAGGAAGGUGGGGACGACGUC
rnacentral:rRNA from 1 species